rnacentral:rRNA from 1 species
AGGAUUAGAUACCCCAUUAAUGUAUUUUUAAAAUGUUGUCCUGGUUUUGUAACUAAAAUGGUUUGGCAGUGAGCGAUUCUUGUUAGGGGAAGAUGCAUAGUAAAGGAUGGUCCACCUAUUAUUUCACUCUUGUUAUGUUGGUGUAUAUCUGGUUUGAUAUUAUCGUUUAAUGGUUUGAGUUUGUGUAGUUUUAGUUAAGCCAAGUCUAUGUGCUGCUUAUGGGAGUUUUUGUGUGUUACAUUAAUAAGGGUGUUGUUGUAAUAUGAUAUUAUUUAGGACUUAAUAGUAAUGUUUAAAUUAGUUUGUUGAUGUGAAAUGAGUUUAGCUCAGGUACACACCGCCCGUCACCCUCGGCUUAUU